GGGCCUCUAGCUCAACGGUUAGAGCUGCGGACUUUUAAUCCGUAGGUUGUGGGUUCGAAUCCCACGGGGCCCACCA
rnacentral:tRNA from 1 species